GCUCCGCCAAUCCUCUCCAUUCUCGAUCUACAUUUGUAUGCUGCUAGAUUUUGUGCAUCUCAACAGAGAACCUGGGGUAGUAAAUACGACUCUAGCUAAGGAGAGCAUUCCUUGUGUGACAAACAAAGAAACUUCCACAGGCAGCAGCACUGGCAAACUCCUCUACAUCGUCAUGGUCUCCACAUGAAGCCCCUCGGUACCUGCUGCGUACAACUCCUGCAAGACGAGAACGAGGCAAACAAACAUUUCCGUGGCAAGGCGUUUCCAUUCUAUGAUGAGUUAACCACUCUUUUCGGGACAACGAAAACUGAAGGCGGUCCAAUGUUGUGUGUUGGUGGAAUUGGAGAUAGAACACCAAGCUGUGGAAGUGAAGACACCCCUGACCCAAUGGCGGAUGAAAAUGUUGACUGGUUGGAGGACACUGUUGGACGAUCUAGUGUGGGUCGUGUG